UACGUAGGGGCCAAGCGUUGUCCGGAUUUAUUGGGCGUAAAGAGCUCGUAGGUGGUUCGGCAAGUCAGUUGUGAAAUCUCCGCGCUCAACGCGGAGGGGUCAGCUGAAACUGCUGUGACUUGAGUCUGGUAGGGGAGUGUGGAAUUCCCGGUGUAGCGGUGAAAUGCGCAGAUAUCAGGAGGAACACCGGUGGGCGAAGGCGGGUCUCUGGACAGUUCCUG
rnacentral:rRNA from 1 species